rnacentral:rRNA from 1 species
ACGCUGGCGGCACGCCUAACACAUGCAAGUCGAACGAAGUAGCAAUACUUAGUGGCAGACGGGUGAGUAACAUGUAGGUAUCUACCCUUUGGCCUGGAAUAACACGAGGAAACUUGUGCUAAUACCGGAUAAGUCUUUACGGAGAAAGCUUUAUGCACCAUUGGAUGAGCCUGCACUUGAUUAGUUUGUUGGUGGGGUAAUGGCCUACCAAGACUGUGAUCAAUAGCUGAUUUGAGAGGAUGAUCAGCCACAUUGGGACUGAGACACGGCCCAAACUCCUACGGGAGGCAGCAGUGGGGAAUCUUGCACAAUGGAGGAAACUCUGAUGCAGCGAUGCCGCGUGAGUGAAGAAGGCCUUUGGGUUGUAAAGCUCUUUCGUCGGGGAAGAAAAUGACUGUACCCGAAUAAGAAGGUCCGGCUAACUUCGUGCCAGCAGCCGCGGUAAUACGAAGGGACCUAGCGUAGUUCGGAAUUACUGGGCUUAAAGAGUUCGUAGGUGGUUGAAAAAGUUAGUGGUGAAAUCCCAGAGCUUAACUCUGGAACUGCCAUUAAAACUUUUCAGCUAGAGUAUGAUAGAGGAAAGCAGAAUUUCUAGUGUAGAGGUGAAAUUCGUAGAUAUUAGAAAGAAUACCAAUUGCGAAGGCAGCUUUCUGGAUCAUUACUGACACUGAGGAACGAAAGCAUGGGUAGCGAAGAGGAUUAGAUACCCUCGUAGUCCAUGCCGUAAACGAUGUGUGUUAGACGUUGGAAAUUUUAUUUUCAGUGUCGCAGCGAAAGCGAUAAACACACCGCCUGGGGAGUACGACCGC